AUGAACGCUGGCGGCGUGGAUAAGGCAUGCAAGUCAAGGGGCCCGCAAGGGCACCGGCGAACGAGGUAGUAACACGUGGGUACGAACCCUCAAGCCUGGCAUAGCUCGUCGAAAGACGGGGUAAUUCCAGAUAGUCUCUUCGGAGUAAAGUCGUAAGACGCUUGAAGAUCGGCCUGCGCAGUAUCAGCUAGUUGGUAGGGUAAUGGCCUACCAAGGCAAUGACGCUUAGGGGAGCUGAGAGGCUGACCCCCACCGAUGGUACUGAGACACGGACCAUACACCUACGGGUGGCUGCAGUCGAGAAUCUUCCACAAUGGGCGAAAGCCUGAUGGAGCGACGCCGCGUGACUGAUGAAGUCCUUCGGGACGUAAAGGUCUUUUAUAGGGGAGAAAGCCCGGAUUUAUUCGGGCGUGAUAGUACCCUAGGAAUAAGAGGUUGCUAAACUCGU
rnacentral:rRNA from 1 species